GUGGGCAAUGUUCACAGUAGGGGAGCGUAGGACGUAGUCGACGAUGUGUUUCGUAUUUUGAUAUAUCAUUCGUGUAUGUGUUUCUCAAAUAGAUAUCGUGGAUAAAGAAAUUAACAUUAAGUUUGGUGCUAUUAAAUAACAGGUAUCUCAUCGUAUCUACUAAUAUUUAACUCAGACAAAUCAUUCCCGAAGGUUCUAAAGAUUAACCGAGACUCAACGUUUCUUACCAUAUUUGAAAUUGUCCUUGCAAAGAGAAAAAAGAAAAAUAAUAAUAAUAA
rnacentral:lncRNA from 1 species